AUUGAACGCUGGCGGCAUGCCUUACACAUGCAAGUCGAACGGCAGCACGGGGCAACCUGGUGGCGAGUGGCGAACGGGUGAGUAAUGUAUCGGAACGUACCAUUGAGUGGGGGAUAACGUAGCGAAAGUUACGCUAAUACCGCAUAUACCCCGAGGGGGAAAGCAGGGGAUCUUAGGACCUUGUGCUCUUUGAGCGGCCGAUAUCAGAUUAGCUAGUUGGUGAGGUAAAGGCUCACCAAGGCGACGAUCUGUAGCGGGUCUGAGAGGAUGAUCCGCCACACUGGGACUGAGACACGGCCCAGACUCCUACGGGAGGCAGCAGUGGGGAAUUUUGGACAAUGGGGGCAACCCUGAUCCAGCAAUGCCGCGUGUGUGAAGAAGGCCUUCGGGUUGUAAAGCACUUUUGUCCGGAAAGAAAUCCUACCUGUUAAUACCGGGUGGGGAUGACGGUACCGGAAGAAUCAGCACCGGCUAACUACGUGCCAGCCGCCGCCGUAA
rnacentral:rRNA from 1 species